rnacentral:rRNA from 1 species
UACAGAGGUGGCAAGCGUUGUUCGGAAUUACUGGGCGUAAAGGGCGCGUAGGCGGCCUUCUAAGUCAGACGUGAAAUCCCCAGGCUCAACCUGGGAACUGCGUCCGAUACUGGAUGGCUUGAAUUCGGGAGAGGGAUGCAGAAUUCCAGGUGUAGCGGUGAAAUGCGUAGAUAUCUGGAGGAAUACCGGUGGCGAAGGCGGCAUCCUGGACCGACAUUGACGCUGAUGAGCGAAAGCUAGGGGAGCAAACGGG